ACUUCUUGCGUAUUGUUGUGGCUUAGUUGAGGUGUCUUGAAAGCUGAUUGGAAGUGAGAAGAGAGGUGUGUGGCAAAGUUACCGGUAAUAGGAAGUCACCUCCUCUGGGGUCACAUAUCCCUAAAUCCCUGUGAAGGAGGACAAGCAGCAUUGGUUUCCUCUGCAGAGCUGACACAAGACUUCACACAAGAAACACACACUGAGCUGAGAUUCUUCACAUGCUCCUGUAUCAUGCCAAGCCAGUCUCCACUCGUGGAAGGAACAGAAAACUUCACCAAUGUAGCCUGCCCAGGGACACCCCCAGCCCCUCAUCCAGGCCAGGGAGCUGCAUACUCAGGUGCUCAAGGUUCCACAACCCCCUCCAACCUGUCAACUUUACCGAACAACCACACUUUCUCCGGCCACACAGACAGUAUGAAGUCUAUCCAGACUGCGCCUCAGCCAGGACAACUACAGGGGUCACAAACUAUUUCCGACACCCACCACCAAUGUCUUGGACCUCAGCCCAAACCCAGAGCCCCAGAAGACGGGGGGGAAGAUGCAGAAGCAGCUCAGGGAAAGAAGCAUUACUGCGGCAUUUGUGGGCAUCUGCUGCUGGCUGUUGUCCUGGCUGUCUUCUCACCGCUGCUCGCUGUGGGAGUCUGCAUGGCUGAUAUGCUAACUGGAGAGUGCUGUCAUGAGCAUGGGAAAGACAUGGACUCUGUGGAUGACCCAUAGACUAUAUAAACACAGUCCUGAUGUGAAAGAGAAGAGGUAUAAGGGCUAUGUUCGCCUAUGUUUUUCCUGUAGAACCAAGUAUUCAUGAAUUACAGACUACUGAUAAAUAUUCAUUCAUAGCGUAAGUUUUUAGAUUUAUUUCCUGUCUUUCUGUUGCAUUUUGGUUCAGUUCAGUACUGUUUGAAAAUCUACUUGCAGAGAUUUCAAAUGUGCUUGAGAGGCAGUGAAAAGCUUACAUAUUUCAUAUUAAGUUAGAGCAAGGACAAUACUUAAAAUCUCUUUGUGGUGCAUUCAAGGAACCUUCAACAUUCAAGGAUUAAUACUGGCUGUAAAAUACUAUUGGAUUCAUGUUUUGUGACUGGAAAGGGAAAUGUUGGAAAGAAACAGUGACACCAACUGACCAAUCGACUGCAGUUCUGCAUUUGCUGUAAAAUCUGAGUGAUUUUUGUACAAUACUAAAAUGAAAGCAAUGGCUGUAAAGAACUUAAAUAAUAAAAAGAAUAAAAAGAAAA